rnacentral:rRNA from 1 species
AGAGUUUGAUCAUGGCUCAGGAUGAACGCUAGCGGCAGGCUUAAUACAUGCAAGUCGAGGGGCAGCAGCUUUAUAGCAAUAUAGAGGCUGGCGACCGGCAAACGGGUGCGGAACACGUACACAACCUUCCUUGAAUAGGGGGAUAGCCCAUAGAAAUGUGGAUUAAUACCCCGUAAUAUAGCGGUGUGGCAUCACACUGUUAUUAUAGUUUCGGCGAUUCGAGAUGGGUGUGCGGCUGAUUAGGUAGUUGGCGGGGUAAAGGCCCACCAAGCCUUCGAUCAGUAGCUGAUGUGAGAGCAUGAUCAGCCACACGGGCACUGAGACACGGGCCCGACUCCUACGGGAGGCAGCAGUAAGGAAUAUUGGUCAAUGGACGCAAGUCUGAACCAGCCAUGCCGCGUGAAGGAUGAAGGUCCUCUGGAUUGUAAACUUCUUUUAUAGGGGGCGAAAAAAGGUCUUUCUAGAUCACUUGACAGUACCCUAUGAAUAAGCACCGGCUAACUCCGUGCCAGCAGCCGCGGUAAUACGGAGGGUGCAAGCGUUAUCCGGAUUCACUGGGUUUAAAGGGUGCGUAGGCGGGUAGGUAAGUCAGAGGUGAAAUCCUGGAGCUUAACUCCAGAACUGCCUUUGAUACUAUCUAUCUUGAAUAUGGUGGAGGUAAGCGGAAUAUGUCAUGUAGCGGUGAAAUGCAUAGAUAUGACAUAGAACACCUAUUGCGAAGGCAGCUUACUACGCCUAUAUUGACGCUGAGGCACGAAAGCGUGGGGAUCAAACAGGAUUAGAUACCCUGGUAGUCCACGCCCUAAACGAUGAUUACUCGACGUAUGCGAUACACAGUAUGCGUCUGAGCGAAAGCAUUAAGUAAUCCACCUGGGAAGUACGACCGCAAGGUUGAAACUCAAAGGAAUUGACGGG